AGUGGAAUUGCUACAUCAUAUGGUAAUUCCGUGUUUUUAGUUUUUUGGGGGACCUCCAUACAGUUUUCUAUAAUGGCUACACUAAUUUACAUUUCCACCAACAGCAUACAGGUGUUCCCUUUCCCACCUCCUCAUCUGUACAUGUUAUCAACAGUGUCCAGGUGUCCCACAUCCUCAUCUGUACAUGUUAUCAACAGUGUCCAGGUGUCCCACA